GAUGAACGCUGGCGGCGUGCCUAAUACAUGCAAGUCGAGCGAACAGACGAGGAGCUUGCUCCUCUGACGUUAGCGGCGGACGGGUGAGUAACACGUGGAUAACCUACCUAUAAGACUGGGAUAACUUCGGGAAACCGGAGCUAAUACCGGAUAAUAUAUUGAACCGCAUGGUUCAAUAGUGAAAGACGGUUUUGCUGUCACUUAUAGAUGGAUCCGCGCCGCAUUAGCUAGUUGGUAAGGUAACGGCUUACCAAGGCAACGAUGCGUAGCCGACCUGAGAGGGUGAUAGGCCACACUGGAACUGAGACACGGACCAGACUCCUACGGGAGGCAGCAGUAGGGAAUCUUCCGCAAUGGGCGAAAACUUGACGGAGCAACGCCGCGUGAGUGAUGAAGGUCUUCGGAUCGUAAAACUCUGUUAUUAGGGAAGAACAAAUGUGUAAGUAACUAUGCACGUCUUGACGGUACCUAAUCAGAAAGCCACGGCUAACUACGUG
rnacentral:rRNA from 1 species